rnacentral:rRNA from 1 species
GGCGGCGUGCCUAACACAUGCAAGUCGAACGGUAAUGUGGGUUAACAGCGGCGGAGGGGUGAGUAGGGGGAAAGAGUAGAAAUACGGGCGGGGUUGGUGGGUUAGUAACCGGUGAAAAA